rnacentral:rRNA from 1 species
UACGGGGGGGGCAAGCGUUGUUCGGAAUUACUGGGCGUAAAGGGUUCGUAGGUGGUCCGCUAAGUCAGACGUGAAAUCCCUCAGCUUAACUGGGGAACUGCGUCUGAAACUGGUGGACUUGAGUGCAGGAGAGGAACGCGGAAUUCCAGGUGUAGCGGUGAAAUGCGUAGAUAUCUGGAGGAACACCGGUGGCGAAGGCGGCGUUCUGGACUGUUACUGACACUGAGGAACGAAAGCCAGGGGAGCAAACGGG